rnacentral:rRNA from 1 species
AUUGAACGCUAGCGGGAUGCUUUACACAUGCAAGUCGAACGGCAGCGCGGACUUCGGUCUGGCGGCGAGUGGCGAACGGGUGAGUAAUGUAUCGGAACGUGCCCAGUAGCGGGGGAUAACUACGCGAAAGCGAAGCUAAUACCGCAUACGCCCUGCGGGGGAAAGCAGGGGAUCGUAAGACCUUGCACUAUUGGAGCGGCCGAUAUCGGAUUAGCUAGUUGGUGAGGUAACGGCUCACCAAGGCGACGAUCCGUAGCUGGUUUGAGAGGACGACCAGCCACACUGGGACUGAGACACGGCCCAGACUCCUACGGGAGGCAGCAGUGGGGAAUUUUGGACAAUGGGGGCAACCCUGAUCCAGCCAUCCCGCGUGUGCGAUGAAGGCCUUCGGGUUGUAAAGCACUUUUGGCAGGAAAGAAACGUCGCGGGCUAAUACCCCGUGGAACUGACGGUACCUGCAGAAUAAGCACCGGCUAACUACGUG